rnacentral:rRNA from 1 species
CCAGACUCCUACGGGAGGCAGCAGUAGGGAAUAUUGCUCAAUGGGGGAAACCCUGAUGCAGCGACGCCGCGUGGGCGAAGAAGUAUUUCGGUAUGUAAAGCCCUAUCAGCAGGGAAGAAGAAAUGACGGUACCUGAGUAAGAAGCACCGGCUAAAUACGUGCCAGCAGCCGCGGUAAUACGUAUGGUGCAAGCGUUAUCCGGAUUUACUGGGUGUAAAGGGAGCGUAGACGGCAUGGCAAGUCUGAUGUGAAAACCCGGGGCUCAACCCCGGGACUGCAUUGGAAACUGUCAGGCUAGAGUGUCGGAGAGGCAAGUGGAAUUCCUAGUGUAGCGGUGAAAUGCGUAGAUAUUAGGAGGAACACCAGUGGCGAAGGCGGCUUGCUGGACGAUGACUGACGUUGAGGCUCGAAAGCGUGGGGAGCAAACAGGAUUAGAUACCCCAGUAUG